CACUCCUACGGGAGGCAGCAGUGGGGAAUUUUGGACAAUGGGCGAAAGCCUGAUCCAGCAAUGCCGCGUGAGUGAAGAAGGCCUUCGGGUUGUAAAGCUCUUUUGUCAGGGAAGAAACGGUGAAAGCCAAUAUCUUUUGCUAAUGACGGUACCUGAAGAAUAAGCACCGGCUAACUACGUGCCAGCAGCCGCGGUAAUACGUAGGGUGCAAGCGUUAAUCGGAAUUACUGGGCGUAAAGCGUGCGCAGGCGGUUUUGUAAGUCUGAUGUGAAAUCCCCGGGCUCAACCUGGGAAUUGCAUUGGAGACUGCAAGGCUAGAAUCUGGCAGAGGGGGGUAGAAUUCCACGUGUAGCAGUGAAAUGCGUAGAUAUGUGGAGGAACACCGAUGGCGAAGGCAGCCCCCUGGGUCAAGAUUGACGCUCAUGCACGAAAGCGUGGGGAGCAAACAGGAUUAGAAACCCGUGUAGUCCCAU
rnacentral:rRNA from 1 species